rnacentral:sRNA from 1 species
CGCAGAUAUUGAUUGUGCUUUUUAUGGCGAUCGGCAGUACUAUAAAUCACCUUCAGUACCUGUGAGUUAACACGCAAUUUGUAAUUUGAGGUAAUAGAAAUAUGGCAACAGGUACAGUAAAGUGGUUUAACGACAGCAAGGGUUUCGGCUUCAUUACACCUGCUGAUGGCGGCGACGAUGUGUUCGUGCAUUUCUCAGCCAUUCAGGGAGACGGAUUCAAAUCCCUGGCUGAAGGUCAGAAGGUCUCUUUUGAAACCGAGAAAGGUGCCAAAGGCAUUCAGGCCACCAACGUAACCCCGGCUGAAUAAGCACAACACUCCGGUGUAAAAAGAAAGCCCGCUUCGUGCGGGCUUUUUCUA